GCCAGCCCGCUCAGAAACUCAAGGAAUUGACGGGGGCCCGCACAAGCGGAGGAGCAUGUGGUUUAAUUCGAUGAUACGCGAGGAACCUUACCUGGGCUCGAACGUAAGAUGACUGUAGGUGAAAGCCUUUACAUCUCUUCGGAGCAUUUUACGAGGUGCUGCAUGGUUGUCGUCAGCUCGUGCCGUGAGGUGUCGGGUUAAGUCCCAUAACGAGCGCAACCCUACCUUUAGUUGCCAUCAGGUAAUGCUGGGGACUCUAAAGGAACUGCCUACGCAAGUAGUGAGGAAGGCGGGGAUGACGUCAAAUCAGCACGGCCCUUACGUCCAGGGCUACACACGUGCUACAAUGGCCGAUACAGAGGGCAGCUACCUGGUGACAGGAUGCAAAUCUCCAAAGUCGGUCUCAGUUCGGAUCGGAGUCUGCAACCCGACUCCGUGAAGUUGGAUUCGCUAGUAAUCGCGCAUCAGCCAUGGCGCGGUGAAUACGUUCCCGGGCCUU
rnacentral:rRNA from 1 species